GUAAUUGACCAGAGUUUUUUACUGAAGUCUCUGAGAAUAAAGACAUAGGUGUAGAUUACUGUGUAAAAGCUAAAAGGUUUGUGUUUCUUUCAGCCAGCAAUUCUCAAAACCCUAAUUUCAAUGGCUAAAGAGUUCAAGGUUCCGCCGGUGGCCUUCCCACAGCCCGGAAAUCCCCCCGCAGGAGGUCCAAACAUCCAGCAGCGACGCAUGGCUGCGCCGCCCUUCCAGCCAAACUCCGGCAUCCCCUUCAUGUCCUUUGACAUAGGCUCCGCCGCAGCGUCCACCUCAUCUGGCCCAAUCUACUCCGGACCCGGCACCGUGGGCGGCUCCGCCAACUUCGACGACGAGGAACCACUCCUCGAUGAGCUCGGGAUCCACCCUGAACAAAUCUGGAGCAAGAUCCGAUCCGUUCUGAACCCGUUCCGCGUGAACCACACCGUCCACAAGGAUUCCGAUCUAUCCGGACCGAUCCUUCUCUACAUGUCGUUUUGCCUCUUCCAGUUACUCGCCGGGAAAAUCCAAUUCGGCGUGAUUCUUGGCUGGAUCGUGGUCUCUUCGAUCUUCUUGUACGUGGUUUUUAACAUGCUUGCCGGUCGAGCCGGUAACUUGGACCUUCACACGUGCACCAGCGUGGUUGGUUACUGCAUGUUGCCGGUGGUGAUCUACUCGGCCAUGUCGCUAUUCCUGCCUCAGGGAGGGAUCGUGGCGAUUGUUGCCGCUUCGAUUUUCGUGCUGUGGGCGACCAGGGCUUCGACGGGUCUCAUCGUUUUGCUUGCGGAUGGCGGCGAGGAACACCGUGGCUUGAUAGCUUUCCAAAAUGUUCCCCAUCCCUUAUAAGCAUUUUUUCAAAGAGAAGAGACAUUUGGCUCUGAGGGUUCUUGCCUCCUUCUACCGACGCCGCACCACACUUUCAGAUCACUCUUCGCCGUUGCUGGUUCUCUGCUCCUUGCCCUGCGCUGUUGCUCGUUCUCUGCUCUCACCAUGAGCCGUCGCUAAUACUCUGCUCCUCGCUGUAUCUCGCCUCGCUGCUGGGUGGUCUUGCCUUGUCCACUGUUGUGCUUGCAAUUGGAGUGGCGUAUACCUCGCUCCAACAUGGUUUGCAUUAGAGCUUGGUGUUGAAAUUGUCCAUGUCCUAAUUGGCCCAGUUUCAUACUUGUUGCUCUCCAAGCCUGCCAAGGGUGUUGAGAAGACCUUCUCUCUCUUCUCACUUCUCCCCAAGGUCCUCGCAGGCUAUAAAUAGCUGAUUGCUCUAUUGUAAGUGCCACUCUUUGAUUUCCUCGUGUAGAGUUAGAACCGUACAGUAAAAGACUCAACUGCCAAGAAUACUCCCUCUUGCGAAGGAUACAAGGCAUGCGUGUGAACCAAGAGACACCAACCUACCUCACGCUAAGUUGUCAGAUCUCAUGUGAAAAUCUUAGCCUAAAUGUAGUUGUGAUUGGUGCUGUGCAUGAUCAUGUCUUUGGUUAUAUUUUGACAUUCUCUUUUUUUUCAAGCUAAUGCAAUUUAGUUGAGUUUUUGACGGGGUGGCACUGUUUUUACAUCGUUAAAAUAAUGAUUAAUAAGUAAUUUUUCAGCAUUGUAAAAAACAUGGUGCUCUCUGAAAG